GGAAGUGAAAGUCGUAACAAGGUUUCCGUAGGUGAACCUGCGGAAGGAUCAUUAUUGUAUAACCGAGGUGCGAGGGCUGUCGCUGACCCGAAAGGUCGUGCACGCCCGAGUGCCCUCACACACAUCCAUCUCACCCCUAUGUGCACCACCGCGUGGGUCCCCCUUUGGCUUGUUCGGAGGGGGGCUUACGUUUUCACACAAACUUUGUAUGCAGUGUAGAAUGUAUUUAUUGUUUUUGCGAUCACGCAAUCAAUACAACUUUCAACAACGGAUCUCUUGGCUCUC
rnacentral:misc_RNA from 1 species